GGGCAUUUGUGCUCUGAGCAAUCAUUGGGUUAGAUCUGCUCUCUUCGCAAGAAGAGGGUUUCCAUACACACCGUGAACUGUGGCUUCGGCCAUCACAAACUGUUAGUAAUGAAUGUAAUAUCAUAACAAAAACAAAACUUUUAACAACGGAUCUCUUGGCUCUCGCAUCGAUGAAGAACGCAGCGAAAUGCGAUAAGUAAUGUGAAUUGCAGAAUUCAGUGAAUCAUCGAAUCUUUGAACGCACCUUGCGCCCUUUGGUAUUCCGAAGGGCAUGCCUGUUUGAGUGUCAUGAAACCUCACCCCACUUGGGUUUUUGCCUGAGCGGUGGUGUAUUGGGUGUUGCCUUGCUAAAGGCUCGCCUUAAAGACAUAAGCACCUUGGAUGUAAUACGUUUCAUCCUUCUGGGUGGCUGAUAACCCCACAUAUUCAUGAUCUGGCCUCAAAUCAGGUAGGGCUACCCGCUGAACUUAAGCAUAUCAAAAG
rnacentral:rRNA from 1 species